AAAAAGAGGAAAUUGAGAAGGCUCUGGAGGAUUAGGGUAAAAUGAUCAAGUGACUUGUCUUGCAUCUGUUACAGUGCAAAUUUCAGAUCCCUUAUUCAAGAAUUUCCUGACCAUAUGAAAAAAUUCAAGCUAAUUACAAAAAUGUGUAUAUCUUCAUCUUAUUUACCAGCAUUACUGCAGCUCACUACCUCUCCAAUGUAGCUUGAACUUCCGCAUAGAGAAAAUCAUAAAUCCUAUUCUUGAUUUCCUAGUAUAACAUCUACCUUACUGAUUAUAUACGUGAUACAUUGAUAUUUCUUUCAAUUAUAGAUUAAAGGCCAUUAUUUAGGAGGCUGACAGGAUUUUUGUUUAAAUUUUCUGAAUUGAACAAAAUAAAAAUGUUUAAGCAGCUUAGACUAAGAGAUAUGGAAGCCAGUUGUUUGAUCAAAAUCCAGAUUUUGAACAUAUUAUAGAAAUUAUAGAAUGAUAGGUAAACAUCAUGGAAUGGCAACCUGAAUAUUUUGGCAGCAAUACUGUCAGACAUUUAUUUAUCCAUAAAAAUAUACACAUGCACAUAUAUAAUGUUACUUACAUGGGAUAACAUCAUCUAUGUUGUUUUUAUGCCUCAUGCCAUAACUGUCUAUUAUAUAUCCUCCGUUCUAUAUAUUUUUCUUUAAUAUUAUGCCAUAUAUAGAUGUAACCAUAUAUAUGUAUACAUACAUAUGUGCACAUUUUUGGUUUCUAAAUAUGAGUCAGACAGGGAAUAACAUAAGCAUGUUUUAUGCAUUUUUUUACUCAUG
rnacentral:lncRNA from 1 species